UAGUCAGGCGACAGGCCGCAGCACGCCCGCCCCGCCCCGCCCCUCGCAACACGAUCACUCCGCCGUGCGCGCACCAGCACCAGCACCAGCACAGGCCGGGCCCGGGCCGGGAGAAGGGCAGCAAAAUGUAGGUCGCACCUCACCUCGCCUCCCUCCGCGGUCGCAGCGGCGAGCGGGAAGACAGGUGGUCGACCCGAGGCGGCGGCGGCGCUGCUGCUGUUAUUGUUGUUGUCAGUGGGCGUCGAAUAAGUCCAGCGAUGAGAGUUUUUUUUUGCUUAUUUCCAAACACUGCUCGGACCAGGAAGCGGUUACUUUUGGAGAGGGAGUAGAAUAUGACUUCGAAAUAGUCCAUUAAAUGCGAAAACUUAAGCCAUUUCCACCCUGUCCUGCUAAUGAUUUCGAAGAUAAGACAUAAAGUCCUGGAGUAUAAAUUAGCAUCUGCAGUUCCAUGUUUCUACAUUCGGAUUAUAAUUUCGAUUGUACAGCAGAGAUAUUAUGUCAUGGUUACUUAAAAGUGAUCAUAAACGCGCGAUACAGAUGCAGGUCUUUCUGGCGGAUCACACAUAUUUAGAUAGUACAGGGUUUUCUCAAAGUUCACUUUACUUGGAAAUAAACGUUUGACAUCCUCACCGAUUCUUGGGACUUCUUUGCCAUAACUCCGCAAAAUGGAAAAAGGCUAGACAGGCUGCGGAUGUCGGGGGCAAAUAUUGCAAGGAGUUGACAACAUUGCAAAUUGCUACCUCCCCCCCCCCCCCCCCCCCCCCCCCCCCCCAACAAGACCUUUGGAGCUCAGAACCAACGGGACUGGGGAUGCCAGUCUAAAACCAGGCAAUCCAAAACUGUUAAAAAAAAACGAAGAAUUUUAAGAUUAUAUUUAUUCGUUUGCCUAGGACGAUGGGACGGGACAUUUGAUAGUUGUAUGUAUAAAUAUGGCAUGUGUUUUCGCAAUACCAUGACAAUAAAUAUUUUAUAAAGUUGCAUCAGAUCAUAGAUGCAAAACUGCAAAUCCAUGUAAACACAGCAAACAUUUUAUUUACGAAUGGUGUACAUCAAAAUAAGCCAUGGGUGGUAACUUCAAGUUUUCAUAAGUGACACAAGCCUAGCUUACACUAAAGAAGUGGAGACAUAUAAAGAUAGAAUAUUAAAGAAUAAUAAUUUCCUAAUUUUGUAUUUCCAGCUUUUAUGAAUGAAAGUGAUUUUAAGUGUU